GACGGAGGGUGCAAGCGUUAUUCGGAAUCAUUGGGCGUAAAGGGCGUGCAGGCGGCCGACCAAGUCAGGGGUGAAAGCCCGGGGCUCAACCCCGGAAGUGCCUCUGAUACUGGCUGGCUUGAGUUCGGGAGAGGGAAGCGGAAUUCCGGGUGUAGAGGUGAAAUUCGUAGAUAUCCGGAGGAACACCGGUGGCGAAGGCGGCUUCCUGGACCGAAACUGACGCUGAGACGCGAAAGCGUGGGGAGCAAAC
rnacentral:rRNA from 1 species